UGCGUAGGGUGCAGGCGUAAAUCGGAAUUACUGGGCGUAAAGCGUGCGCAGGCGGUUAUGUAAGACAGGUGUGAAAUCCCAGGGCUUAACCUUGGAACUGCAUUUGUGACUGCAUAGCUAGAGUACGGUAGAGGGGGAUGGAAUUCCGCGUGUAGCAGUGAAAUGCGUAGAUAUGCGGAGGAACACCGAUGGCGAAGGCAAUCCCCUGGACCUGUACUGACGCUCAUGCACGAAAGCGUGGGGAGCAAACAGG
rnacentral:rRNA from 1 species